UAACAAGUAUGCUGUUUAAUAUAUGUGAUGCACUUUUUUUCAGAAUUCACCAACGAAUAGAAAUUUCAAAAGAACAACAUUCAUUUGAAAUAGAAAUCUUUCGCCAUUAUAAAUGCCUUUACUAUCACUUUUGGUCGAUUUAAUGUGCCCUUGCUGAUUUUUUUUUUUUUUAUUUAUUUUUUUGUGCUAAUAUAAACCUCUGUAGAUGGAUAAGUAAGCAACAUGCCAUAUUAAAGGGGCAAGAUUUAGGGAUAACCAGAGUUAUUAUUUUAGCCUUUAUUUUUUAUUUUUUGACUGGCUAAAAAAAACUGCUUUUUAAUUUAAAGUGCCACAACCACACACAAACAGUCUACUUAAUGAAUAAUAAUAAAAAAAAAAAAUCUAAUGCCUACUUACCUGUUACUCUUAAUUUUCCCCAUGAGCCCGUAGCUAUGGUAACUAAUUUGUUUUCCUCUACGGGUGGGCUGGGCCUACUUGCUGACUGUAUUUAUGACAUUCAGAAUAUGUUAUCAUAAAAACACCUACAGUAAUACAAAAAUCAACUAAACUUGUUGUUGUGGCAUUUGUAAUGGUGCUUGGUAUAAUUAUGGUAUCUGUGGUGGGAGGGAUGUUUUGUAUUAGGAAAGAACAUGAAAGUGACUCAAUUCUCUGUUAGAACUCCAUUUCCUCUCGACUGUCUGCCACUGCAUUGUCCAACACUGUGGCCUCCGCCCACUCUGUGUCUGCUCCUGCUAGACAACCUGAUUUUACUGGAAUUGUUCACACACAGGUACACAUACACACACAAUGGGAGUUUUUGAUAGCCAUGCUGUUUUUGCUCUUCUCUCCCCAUUCUGCUCUAAUGCUGGUGAGCUGGACUUUUUCAAACCUUAUCCCCUGAGAACAUGUAGUUUGAUUUAAUAUUUGGUAAUUACUGUGAGGUGAGAGUGUGUGUGUGUGUGUGUGUGUGUAUUCUAUUGUCUUCUGAGAUACAUACAAAACCGAGAAGCAUUAAUGCAGUAUGUGCUGAUGCUGUCCCAUUCUGUCCAUUGUUCUUGCUUCUCUCAGUCUGCAGAUGGGAAAGGUACUCACUUCCUGUUUGUAGAUGUUCUGUUACCCACAGAAAUUGUAAUUGGUUUCUCAGCUUCGGUGCACUGGGGAGAGAGUGUGGAAGAGAAAAAAAGGAGUCAUCAGCCAGGCCUGGUUCUCUAACAGCUAAGCCUUUCUCGUGGAAAAGCAUCGUCUCUGAACUCCCCCGUGGUGCAGAUUCAAACUACUGCUAGUAAAGCUGUGUUGCUCUUGCUUCCUCCUGGGUAACUAUAUUUGCUGAAUAUAUUUUGCUGAAUUUUCAGCAGCCAUUACGCUUGUUUUCAGUGUCUCAUGAUCCUUCAGAAAUUAUUCUAAUAUGUUGAUUUGGAG
ensembl:lncRNA